AUGGGGUUUGUGCUCCACUUGAAAUCUCAAACUAUAAACCCUCGCUACGUCUCGCCUCCCUUCCUGCAACUGCCACCGGCGAUCGAUCCCGUCGCCGAUGCCGAACUUCCUUAGUUUCCAUCCACAGAACUCAUCUCCGCGUCCCCUACUCGUACACAUCUGCGCUAAUUGAGUUCUUUUCCGUGUUCACUUACAAGCAUCACCGCUGUGAGUUGAAUCCGUCGCCGCCGCCACCGCCUCUAAUUUCUUCGCAUCUAUAGAUUCUUGGCGCCUUCCCACCUGCUGCAACCUCUGUCGCGGCUUUUUGCUCCUAUGGAAUCGCAGUCGAUCAACUCCCAGUGUGACGUAGCUGCGAAUCCAAGAAUAAAAGCGAUGAAUGUACAAAGAGAAGUAAGGAACAACAAUAGUGAAAUUUACAGAUUCUGAAGCAGAGCCUCUUUGUUAAGGGUCCAUCACAGAAUAUGGGUCCACCAUAGCUCUAGGAAAUAGUCAACAAGCUUCUAAAUAGUGUAUGUUUACCUAAGCAUGAUAAAUAUCCUCUGAUAUGGGAAGCCACUCUUUCUGUCAUUGUCCAUUAGGUGGAAAAGGUGACUUAUGCAUUUUAAAUAUCAGAGCAAGAGCUUCUCGUGCAGCUUAAUUCUUAUUUGUAAAAGAUCAAAGGUAUCCUUAUUCUCUGUAAAUUUGUUCAAUAUUAUUUUUCUAACAUUAUUCUCGAUAUCACCUCAUUAAAGAAGAUGCAUUCUACUUUAGUAUUUGUAUUUAUCAAAGGGAGUAUGUAUUCCAAAAUACCCCUUCCCACCACUUGUGCAAAUUGAAAUGUUGAACUUCCUUCUACUCACCCAAACAAAGUACUAAAUCUUUCUAUGUCUGUUUAAACCGAACCGCAUUAAGAAGCCAAAGGGCAAAUCCUUUCAUUAUGUACUUUUGAUUAAAAGUGUUUGAUGACCUAACAGAUUUUGGUUUUGUACCAAAAGUAAUACAAUUUCACCUCCUAUGGUCCUUAAGUUUGAUUGUGCUGUUCUUUCAAUAUUUUGAGUCCUUUAGGGCCAUAAAACACUUUUGGCUAAAGGUACUUAUUGGCUAUGAAGAUCUCAUAUCAGUGCCAAAUCGAGCUAAAAGUACUUAGUGGCUAUGAAGAACUCAUGUUUGUGCCAAAUCAGCACCAUUGCAACCUCAUUGGUUUGCUUAGUAUAUCUCUACUUUUUUUUUUUUCAAGAUUUUGAGCUCAGAUUCAUGCCAAAUGUGCCCUGUUGCACCUUGUUGAUCAUCAUAGGUUAAGGCUUGAUCUUGAGUCAAGCCUUCUGAUAAGGCUUUUGUUCUGUAAUUUAAUGGAAGCCUUUUAUUACCUUUAAAUUCUUUUUCUUGCAUAUUAUGAAAUAUAAAUCCUAUGUGUUCAUGGCAUGCAUGCUUUAUUUGAUUCGUACUCAUUGUUUAUAUUGAUGCAUGCAUGUAGUAUUUUUCUUCUACGAGGAUGCAUGUAUAGAAUUGCUAUCUAUAUAAUGAUUAGAGAUUAUUCUCAUGACUUGUUGCUUGUUACUAACUCAUCAUGUAUGGUAUACUUACGCUAACAUAGAGAACUUAUACUCCUUGUAUUAUUAUUCAGUUUACUGCCCAUUAGAUCAUUUGUCCAAUUUCUUCCAUGGAUGCCAAGAAAGCCCUUGCUCUUGUUCAAUCUAGGCUCUAUGACCCUAACUAUAUCCAUGCAAUGUUCAAAUCCUCUGAGAGCAACUACCGAAGUACUAUCUGAUCUCCCACCUCAAAUCCUCCAUUUUUUCUUUGCCAUUAUGGAUUUGGUAGAUUCUACCAUUUCUCACUUUGUUCAUUUCUGGAUCUCUAAGAAAAAAAUUUUCAUUCAUUUUCAGAAAAUUGAAGUUCCUUAUCAUGAACUCCAUUUCAAAUGCUUGUAACAGCUCUAUCCUCCUCCUUGGUCCACAAGGAUCAAGAAAGGUCCUUUAGCAUCUUUCCACUAGACAUACACAAUUGUCCUUCUUGUUGUUCAGGUGGUUGACUUGGUCCUUGAAGAUUUGAAAAGUCAACGCCCUGAUUUGAUUUUAUGGUAUAGUAUUAUGUUUCUUGUUUUCUGACCCUUUUCACUGGUUUAUUUUUUGUUGUCUUGUUCUAUUGUGCAUUUGUUAGUAAGAGAUCUCUAAGUAUAUAGCAAUGUUUUGUGUGUGUGUGUGGUUAGAUCUUUAUCAAACCUUCUUGGGUUUUUUCAAUCUUCUUUGUUUUUCUGAUUGUUAAAAUUUCAUGAUGGGUAGAUAGCCCAUGCAUUUGUUCUGUGUUUAUUUAGUGGGAAGGAAGUAAGGAAGAAAGGAAAUAGUUUUAAGGGAAACAAAGUAAGAAAUACAUUUAUCAUAUUUCAACCAAUGUGAAAGCAAGUCACUUAUGUUAGUUAUAGAUUUUUCCCUCUACUUCCAUUUAAUUUUGGCUGCUAUAAAAUGGAAGAUUUGGAUGAGAUGAUAAUUUUUUCUCCCCUUAUCUUCCUUCCAAGUAAACAAGAUGAUUUGGCAAUUCAAUUCUUUUUCCUUCCCUUACCCUCUUAUUUCAUCCAAGUGAAUAGCAUGAUACUUGUGAGCUUAAAAUGUCUAAGAAAAUAGAAUGUCUACUAAUAUCUGAACUGGAACUAUUAAAUUGUUAUUCUGAUUUGCAGAGAAUUUUAUUGAUCUUAGUAUAGAAUAGAGAAAUCAGUGGAAGGGAGGAAUUUUCAAGUGGAGCACAAACCACAUUGUUCUUUUUUCAAAUAAGACCCUCCAGUAAACAAUGAGCAUGAUUAAACAGGAUAUUUCGGUAUACAUGAUUUUGGAUGCAGACCAACUUCUUGAUAAAAGAGAAAGAGUCCGAUCCAAGUUUUCUCGCAGAAAAACUACUUUUUUUUCCUUCUCUAACUUAUCAUGAAUUUCUUAUCAAGUCUAAUAUCUUUCCAAACAAUUAAUCCUCAGUUUUCAUCAUUUUGAUAUGUUAUCAAAUUGAUGGAGCACAUAUUAUACUUGCCAAAAGAUUUAGGUCUCCCCUCUAAAUAUGUUGCAGAAUUCAAUUCACUUAUCAUCCUCUUGAUCUCACUGUGUACAUUCAAUAUUAUUGUGUAACUUGCUUGUCAGAGAGGAUUAAUAACCAAAACUGCAGAGGUUGCUACUUGUACUGGAAAAAUAGUCCUGCAAGUCUUCUGUAUAAAUUCAAUUACCAGUAUGAUUUUGAUGUGAGAUUAUUGUUGUUAUGAUGGAUAUACCUGGAUAGAUGACAUGUAAAAUGCUCUAGGAUUCAUGAUUUUUAUAUGAGAUUAUCUAGUAUCAUGAUUUACUUGUAUUUAUGAGAUGCAAAACGCUCUAGGAUGCAUGGAUAUGCCAUCUUAGUUCACAUAGUUCCAGUUCAAAUAGGAGAAUGCACAAAUUUCUUUCUCAUUAUUAUUAUUUUCAUGAUCAUUGAGUUGUGCAGUAAUUAGUUAAUGAGUAAAACUGUGAGUGUUUGCAAGACAUUUUAAAUGAAAGCUCAAAAAAAUCCUGGAUUCUGUUUUAUAUAUCAAUGGAACAAUUAGCAACUUGGUGCAGUUUCUGUAAGUUUAUUUAUCUUCUUUUUUUUUUUUUCAAGAUUGAAGCACUGUACUUUUAGUUUUUAGUUCAUCUUUUGAGAAAUUUUCCUUCAGAUUCCUAGCUGUGGCUUCUAUAAAUUUAGAAUCUGGUUUGAUCCCUGGAAAAUCUCAGAUUUCCCAGAUUAUUUUGCCAGCAACAGCCCAAGAGUCAGUCCUCCAAGGAGUCUCGAUUCUGGAACUAUACAUUCUGGUGUGCACGAAUAGGUUGAAAUGUAAAGAUCGGAAUUCAUACAACUUCAAUUAUCAUGAAAGGUAAGUCAAAAUUUGCUCCAUUUAUGAUUGGUGUUAAAGGCAGUUGCUGAAAUGAAUUCUUUUUGAGUAUAAAGAUGAGACAGUUUGUGUCUGAGGGUUCUUAUAGGCUUUUGAACAUCUCUUGGGACGAGAGUUGUUUAGUUUUGUUCACAACAAGGGACGUAAUUUGUCCAUUGAACUUCAACCAGUGAAACUUUUGGUUUCACCUCUUGAACUGUACCUGGGGUUGAAGUAAAGCUCUUCAUGCCCUGUAUGUGCUCAAGCUAUAUUUCUCAUAACUAAUUUGAUCUUAGUAGUUAAUUAUUCCACAAGAAUGUCAUAUGCCUUGUAUAGCUGGGAGAUGCAAGGAUCUUAUUUUCUGUU